CACCCCUGACACUGGGCAAAGAGACAUCUUGGUGGUGAUGGUCUUAUAUCAGUCAGGGGCAGAGCAAAUGGUCAUCCUUUGUUCAUCCUAGUUUGAUGCCUGGUUUGGUGGCCAAAGCAAUCAUAUGCCUAGGACUCCUAA